rnacentral:rRNA from 1 species
GAUGAACGCUAGCGGCAGGCCUAACACAUGCAAGUCGAGGGAGGAGCCUUCGGGCUUCGACCGGCGUACGGGUGCGUAACGCGUAUACAAUCUGCCUUUCACAUAGGGAUAGCCCGAAGAAAUUUGGAUUAAUACCUAAUAGUAUAUAGAUGUGGCAUCACAUUUAUAUUAAAGCUGAGGCGGUGAAAGAUGAGUAUGCGUUCUAUUAGCUAGUUGGAGAGGUAACGGCUCCCCAAGGCGACGAUAGAUAGGGGUUCUGAGAGGGAUAUCCCCCACACUGGUACUGAGAUACGGACCAGACUCCUACGGGAGGCAGCAGUGAGGAAUAUUGGACAAUGGUCGGAAGACUGAUCCAGCCAUGCCGCGUGCAGGAAGACGGCCUUAUGGGUUGUAAACUGCUUUUGCAGGGGAAGAAUAAGGACUACGUGUAGUUUGAUGACGGUACUCUGCGAAUAAGCAUCGGCUAA